UACAGAGGGGGCAAGCGUUAUUCGGAAUUAUUGGGCGUAAAGGGCGCGUAGGCGGCUUUGCAAGUGACGGGUGAAAUCCCUCGGCUUAACCGAGGAACUGCCUGUCAGACUGUGAGGCUUGAGACCGGGAGAGGUGAGUGGAAUUCCGAGUGUAGAGGUGAAAUUCGUAGAUAUUCGGAAGAACACCAGUGGCGAAGGCGGCUCACUGGACUGGUAUUGACGCUGAGGUGCGAAAGCGUGGGGAGCAAACAGG
rnacentral:rRNA from 1 species